rnacentral:rRNA from 1 species
GUAAAACGUAGGAGGCGGGCGUUAUCCGGAUUUACUGGGUGUAAAGCGCGUGUAGGCGGUCGUGCAAGUGGUGCGUGAAAGCGCCCGGCUCAACCGGGCGAGGACGUGUCCGAACUGCGCGACUAGAGGUAGGUAGAGGCGUGUGGAAUUCCGGGUGUAGUGGUGAAAUGCGUAGAGAUCCGGAGGAACACCAGUGGCGAAGGCGACACGCUGGGCCUGACCUGACGCUGAGAGGCGAAAGCAUGGGGAGCGAAUGGG